UUCACAUUUCUACCUCUAUGCUAAAUAUCAAUAUCCUACGUUGAAAAUGUACUUGACGAUACUGCUAAUAAUAAUGGUUUUGUGCAACGUGCGUGUAAUGGAUGGCAGUACAGCAGAUCACUCAAUACAUGCUGAGACAUGAAUUCACAUUUCUACCACUAUGCAAAAUAUCAACAUCCUACGUUGAAAAUGUACUAGACGAUACUGCUAAUAAUAAGGGUUUUGUGCAACGUGCGUGUAAUGGAUGGCAGUACUGCAGAUCACCGGAGGCAUGCUGAGACAUGAAUUAGCAUUUCUAUCACUAGG